rnacentral:rRNA from 1 species
AGCGAACGCUGGCGGCAGGCCUAACACAUGCAAGUCGAACGAACCUUUCGGGGUUAGUGGCGGACGGGUGAGUAACACGUGGGAACGUGCCUUUAGGUUCGGAAUAACUCAGGGAAACUUGUGCUAAUACCGAAUGUGCCCUUCGGGGGGAAGAUUAAUCGCCUUUAGAGCGGCCCGCGUCUGAUUAGCUAGUUGGUUGAGGUAAUGGCUCACCAAGGCGACGUUCAGUAGCUGGUCUGAGAGGAUGAUCAGCCACAUUGGGACUGAGACACGGCCCAAAAUCCUACGGGAGGCAGCAGUGGGGAAUCUUGCGCAAUGGGCGAAAGCCUGACGCAGCCAUGCCGCGUGAAUGAUGAAGGUCUGAGGAUUGUAAAAUUCUUUCACCGGGGACGAUAAUGACGGUACCCGGAGAAGAAGCCCCGGCUAACUUCGUG